AUUGAACGCUGGCGGCAUGCCUUACACAUGCAAGUCGAACGGUAACGGGUCCUUCGGGAUGCCGACGAGUGGCGAACGGGUGAGUAAUAUAUCGGAACGUGCCCAGUAGUGGGGGAUAACUGCUCGAAAGAGCAGCUAAUACCGCAUACGACCUGAGGGUGAAAGGGGGGGAUCGCAAGACCUCUCGCUAUUGGAGCGGCCGAUAUCAGAUUAGCUAGUUGGUGGGGUAAAGGCCUACCAAGGCAACGAUCUGUAGUUGGUCUGAGAGGACGACCAGCCACACUGGGACUGAGACACGGCCCAGACUCCUACGGGAGGCAGCAGUGGGGAAUUUUGGACAAUGGGCGCGAGCCCGAUCCAGCAAUGCCGCGUGCAGGAAGAAGGCCUUCGGGUUGUAAACUGCUUUUGUCAGGGAAGAAAUCUUCUGGGCUAAUACCCCGGGAGGAUGACGGUACCUGAAGAAUAAGCACCGGCUAACUACGUGCCAGCAGCCGCCGUAA
rnacentral:rRNA from 1 species